CACAUUUUGAACUGCAAAAUGCAUCCUUAAACUGAAGAAUGUAUCCUUAAUUCUGGUUUUUAAAUAACCCUUAAAAAUCUAUUGGCCUGAAACUUUGACCUUAUGCACCUGCACAUUUUAUAGACAAAGGUUGGUAGAAACAGACUUCAUUGACUUCAAUUGAUGCUUCAUAGAGUCAAGGAUUUCUAAGUUAUGUAAUUUCUAAGUCAUGAUCCUGAGCACUGAGGCUAGACCAGGCCUCGGUAUCUCUCCAACACCACCCUCUUUUAAAAAUAAGGUAGCAGCAAAUCAAUAGUAGAACCAUGUUUGCAUAGAACUUGUUAAAAUGCUCUGGUUUCAUUAAACGUUAAGCCAAUAAAUAAAUAAAUUUUUACUUAAUUAAUAAAGCCACCUGCAAAGACAAAUAUCACAUGAUUUCACGUCUAUGUAAAAUCUACAACAGAUGUUUUCCUUGAAAUGGAGAGUUGCAUAGUGGUUACCAGAGGCUGGAGAGUGUAGUCUGCAGAAGGAGAUGGGAAAAGUUUGAUCACCGAUACAAUGUUAUGCUGGGUGUAGUGGUGCAUGCCUGCAAUCCCCACAGCUCUGGAGGCUGAGGCACAAGGAUUGCGAGUUCAAAGCCAGCCUCAGUAAAAAUGUCUCUAAAUAAAAUACAAAAUAGGACUGGGAUGUGAUUCAGUGGUUAAGUUCCCCAGAGUUCAAACCCUGGUCCCCCCGCCCACACACAAAACAGCUUUUAUACACAAUGGAAUAUCACUCAGCACUAAAAAAGGACAAAAUCAUGGCAUUUGCAGGUAAAUGGAUGGUGCUAGAGAAGAUAAUGCUAAGUGAAGUUUGCCAAUCCCAAAAAACAAAUUCUGAAUGUUUUUUCUAAUCUAAGUGGGGUGACUCAAAGUGGGGUAG
rnacentral:lncRNA from 1 species